rnacentral:rRNA from 1 species
AGUGAACGCUGGCGGUAGGCCUAACACAUGCAAGUCGAACGGCAGCACAGUAAGAGCUUGCUCUUACGGGUGGCGAGUGGCGGACGGGUGAGGAAUACAUCGGAAUCUACUUUUUCGUGGGGGUUAACGUAGGGAAACUUACGCUAAUACCGCAUACGACCUACGGGUGAAAGCAGGGGAUCUUCGGACCUUGCGCGAUUGAAUGCGCCGAUGUCGGAUUAGCUAGUUGGCGGGGUAAAGGCCCACCAAGGCGACGAUCCGUAGCUGGUCUGAGAGGAUGAUCAGCCACACUGGAACUGAGACACGGUCCAGACUCCUACGGGAGGCAGCAGUGGGGAAUAUUGGACAAUGGGCGCAAGCCUGAUCCAGCCAUACCGCGUGGGUGAAGAAGGCCUUCGGGUUGUAAAGCCCUUUUGUUGGGAAAGAAAAGCAGCAGGUUAAUACCCCGCUGUUCUGACGGUACCCAAAGAAUAAGCACCGGCUAACUUCGUG